rnacentral:rRNA from 1 species
AGAGUGAGCGCUGGCGGUAGGCCUAACACAUGCAAGUCGAACGGCAGCACAGUAGGAGCUUGCUCUUACGGGUGGCGAGUGGUGGACGGGUGAGGAAUACAUCGGAAUCUACCUUUUGGUGGGGGAUAACGUAGGGAAACUUACGCUAAUACCGCAUACGCCCUUCGGGGGAAAGCCGGGGACCAGCAAUGGCCUGGCGCUGAUAGAUGAGCCGAUGUCGGAUUAGCUAGUUGGUGAGGUAAUGGCUCACCAAGGCGACGAUCCGUAGCUGGUCUGAGAGGAUGAUCAGCCACACUGGAACUGAGACACGGUCCAGACCUCCGUACGGGAGGCAGCAGGUGGGGAAUUA